ensembl:lncRNA
UUUUUUUUUUUUUUUUUAUCUUUUUCAGUAAAGACAAUUUGUGACUUAUAUAACCAAAUGCACGCUAAUGUUUAAACCUUUGUAAGACUAUUCACAUGAAUAAAUCCGCUCUUCUCUUCCCAGUGGGAAAGCCGGGUCGAACAAGAAAUUCUAGUUCAGGCUGGGAAAAUGCGGUCAUUGAACCAGAGGGAGGGGCUUCUGGUUCUGCCUCAGAACCCAGGGCUCUGGAGAGGCACCGCCAGGGCCACGAGGCUGAGGAGGUCCGUGAGCUUUCCCAGCGCCUCACCCGUGCCCAGAACACUGGGUGAUGCACCGCACCCUCUUUGCUCCCUGCCAGUCUUGGCGCCCCCAUGCUUCUCGUCCUCCUUCCUCUGUUCCCCUCUUUCACUGCUCUGUGUCCUCCUGCUGGGAGUGGACCCUGUUGGGCAGUGUGGUUCCAUGGUUAGGACCAUAGGCUCUAGGGCAGAUCCUUGGGUUUGAGCCCUAUGGCGUGCUGGCCAUGGGACCUGGAUGCUUUGGGCCUCAGUUUUCUCAUCUGUAAGAUGGGUUAAUAUGGUAGCAGACACUGUCAGAGCCCAGCCAUAGCCCCUUGGCAUUUCUGUUUAUCAUACUGCUCACUGUGACUGCAGCGACCCUCUGCCUGGGGGCAGCACCCCUGGCCUGGACACGGGAAGGGCCAGGAGUGCGGAAAGCUGGUAUUCCUAGAAGCAGCCCUCAGCCCAAGAGGGACAGGGAGUUGGAGGAUGGAUGCUUCAGCAUCCUCCUCUCUGUUGGAUGUUCCAGAUGUGUCUUCUGCGCUGAGUCCCAGAGUUGCUCAGUGGGCUCGGGCUCUGUAGUAGAGGCUGGUGCAAUAGCACCUUAACGACACUGGCUGCCUUCCCUCCCCUGCUUCCUCGCUGAAGUUUCCUGUCGCCUCCCAAAGAAGCUUCUGUACUUGAAUUCAUUUCUGAGUCUGUAUCUAGUGGAGCCCAAACCAAGCCAUCACUCUGCCUCCCUGUGGGAGCAGCUCUGGGGACCUCACGAGUAUUGUAAAGCAUAGAGCGAUGCCUGCACACAUACGUACCAUAGAAGCAAACACCCCUAUAAUUCAUACUCCAGUUGGUCAAAUACACUGGAUUCUGCAUGGUCUCUGUGCCUUUGCUCCUGCUGUUCCCUCUGCCUGUUCUGCCUUUCCCUUCCUCUUCGCCUGGCUUAUGCCAAGUUGUCCUUCUGGAUUCAGGUCGGAAGUCACCUCUCUUGGAGGUCUUUCCUGGGCACGCCCUGCACUUGGGUGGCUGGGGGAUGGCUCUCCGUUCCUCUGUCACGGUGUUUCCACCAGGAUUAUAAUCCUCUGCUGACCAUCCCUAGUCAUUCCUCGAGGCCACAGACCAUGCUCUUUGCUCUCUGGUUCUCUGGGGAAGGAGGGAGCACGUGUCUGUGUGUCAUGCACAGCCCUUCGCUCUCCGGGACCCCUGGCUCGUGUCUGCACACAGCAAACGUGGGGCUUUGAUGACUUCAAGCCUGCCUAAGGGAGUGGGACUAGAGCCUGGGACUGUGAACCCCCAGGUCUCUUUCCACCCCUCUCCUUAACCACUCUGGGGUCACCCAGUGGGACAGGAUGCUGGGGCAGCUGGAGCUUUGGCAUGAGCAUCCAAGGGGAUGGGAACUGACUUCGAGAAGAAGGGCUAAAGGGCCUUACAGCCCAGGUCUCAUCUGGACAGGAGAAGGCCAGAGGGAGAGGGGCAGGAAGUGACAAGUUCUGAGGCUUUGCUUUGCUUUUAUAUUGAUGAUGAGGAGGAUGGUUAUUCAAUGAAGAGAUGGUGCGUUAAAAGUUUUCCCCAUCUUGGAGCUCCUGUCGUGGUGCCGUGGUUAGCCAAUCCAACUAGGAACCAUGAGGUUGCGGGUUGGAUCCCUGACCUCGCUCCCUGGUUAAGGAUCCAGCAUUGCCGUGAGCUGUGGUGUAAGUCGCAGACACGUGACUUGGAUCCCACGUUGCUGUGGCUUUGGCAUAGGCUGGUGGCUACAGCUCCGAUUAGACCCCUAGCCUGGGAACCUCCAUAGGCCGCAUGUGGGUGCAGCCCUAGAAAAGACAAAAAAAAAAAAGUUUUCCCCAUCUGCCAAUGAUGGGGGGGGGGAUCCAGGUUGAUUUUAAAGCAAGAGAAACUGCAGUCAGACAUAAGAAGGAACUUCCCAAUCUCCAGUGGAGCGGUGUCAGCUGUUGUCAGAUUCUCAGAAGGCACUUGACAGAAUGAUAGACAUGGGGGAAAAGAGAGAUUGGAAUACAGAGAUGUGGGCAGAGAAUGAAGACCCAAGAAGGAGAAAGAGGAGAGAGACAGGGAGAGGGGGAAGCCCAGAGGAUAGAUGGGGUGCUGUGGGUCUAGCAGCUGCUGCAGCCAGAAAAAUCUCAUGAGAGGGAGGGGCCCGGAAACUGAAUUCCCUGCUCUACUGCCCGUGUGCUGGAUGACUUUAGGCAAGUUGCUUCACCGCUCUGGGCCUCUGUUUCUUUAUCUAUAAAAUGGGGCUAUGUCACCAGCCAGUUUCAUCAGCUCUUUCCUAAGCUCCUGGAUGGAGACAGGCUUUACAGCAAACCAGUGGGAUGAGGAGGGGAGAAGAGGAGCCCAGUGCAUGCUUUUCAUUCCACUGCAAACUCUGGCUGGUGAUACAGGGGUGCUCUUUAAUGAGCAACUACCCUGUAGCAAGCACUCCCCUAUCGAAUACUCUUUUAAUCCUCCAAUAACCUAUGUGGGAGGCAUUGUCUCCAUUUUACAGAUGAGACCACUGAGGCCCAGAGAGGUCAUUUAAAGUAUCCAGAGUCACACAGCAGCAGGUGGCAGCGUCAGGAUUAGAACUCAGGCUCCUCGGAGUCAAGGCCCUGGCUUGUUCCCUUUGCUGUGUUAACAGAGCUGUGAUAGUCAGAUGUCCCAUGUGCAUCUCAUGACCUUAUGGCCCUUCCCCCCUGUUGAAAAUAAAAGAUAAGAAAAUAAGACCCAGGAAAUCUGUCCAGGUCUGAGGACCCUCCCUGUUGCUCCCCAGAAAGCCCUGCCCGGGUUCCCCUCCCCUCUGGAAGGUGGGGGAUGUUGACUCCCGUCUGAGACUUUAUCAUCCACCCAACCAGGCCUCAGCUGAGAAGAAGCCGGGCUCUGAGCCAAACAGAUAAGAUCCCAGGCGCCGCAGCCAAUCCUGAUGGCCUCCCCAGGCAGUGGGCUAUGCUAAUUGCUCUGUCAACAGUGGCCCUUGUUUGCAUAUAUGCAAAUUGGGGGGCUUAUUAGCUCUUCUCCCAGAUGGGUCAGUUCAGGCCUCAGCCUGACCCUUGCAGUGCCCGCUUUGAAGGCUUCACCAGCCAGUGGGACAAAUGCCCAUCCAGAUGGAGGACUUAGCAGGCACGGGUGGCCCUCGGCCUUGGCAGCUGAAGGGUCCAACUGGGACCUGAGCGUUUUGAUGGGGAAACUGGAGGCUGUGGUCUGAUGUCUCCCUGGCUCUUCCAAACUGGGGGUGUCCAAGAUAUCCCAGAGCCUGCCCGGGGCCUUCUCCUCUCCGACCUCGGCCCCACACGUGCCUAGUAAUGCAGAUGUCCACUGUCCAGCUGCGAGGGCUACUGCAGACCGAUGGGCGUCUGCGGAGGAGGACUCUGGGCUGCUGUCCUUGAGCCUGGCCAGGCACCUGCUCAGAGUGUAGACGUCAGUGAAUCUCUAAGGCUCUGCUGUCGGGCUGGGCUCAGAGCACAGCCCUUCGAGACUCUUCCGUUUGAUGUCCCCCACCAUCAGGGCUGUCCCCUCCAUCCCAUAGCCAGGUCCUCAGGCGGGGCCACCAUCCCCUGCCUGCAUCAUCACAGCAGUCUCGUCCCUGGUCCUGCCUCCACUGUCCCCCGCUCCCUCCUCCUCGCAGCCCAGCCAGGCUUUUCAAACCACAAAUCUGACCUCUCUCUCCCCUGCUUAAAACUCUCCAUGGCUCCCAGGUGCCCAGCCAGAAAGUUCAAACUCCUAACCUGGCCUACAACCAUUACUGGUCUCCAGUUCUGGAUUUUCUUUUCUUUUCUUUUUCUUAUUCUUUUUUUUUUUUAAUAUUUUUAGGGCCGCACCCAUGGCAUAUGGAGGUUCCCAGGCUAGGGGACAAAUUGGAACCAUAACUGCUGGCCUACAUCACAGCCACAGCAACGCCAGAUCCGAGCCACAUCUGCGACCUACACCACAGCUCAUGGCAACGCCGGAUCCUUAACCCACUGAGCGAGGCCAGGGAUCGAACCCGCAUCCUCAUGGAUACUAGUCGGGUUCCUUACCACCGAGCCAUGACAGGAACUCGUCUAGUUCCAGCUUUCCUCCUCCACGCUGCCCCAGCAGCCCCCAGCCUCCCUGAGAAUUCCUUGUGGGCAGGACUCUGUCUUGGUGGCUGACGUAUCCUCAGAGCCUGGCAGAGAAAUCACCUUCUCAAGGAAGCCUUCUUGGAUUGGGUCCCUCAGGAAUCAUCUAAUGCAGAUAACCUGGUGGGCCUGCGCCCUCAUUUCUGGGUCUCUGUUAAAGGGAUCUAGGUUUUUUUUCUGGGAGGAAAAAGAUUGCAAGGUCUCAAAUAAUAGCGGACCGUGUCUCCUCAAUCAACUUGAGACCUCUGCGGGGAGGGGCUGUGUCUCUCCCAUGAGACUUGGACCUCCCCAGAGUGGGGCUGUGUCUCCACCAUCAGUCACAUGAAGCUUCAUGAUGGCAGGGGGUCUGUCCUCUCUCCGUCAGAGUGAGAACCCCUCAGGGCAGGGUCUGUGACCCCAGAUCUUCUCACAUUUCCAUCUAAGGAGAAUGCAAGUGUCCAUUCUGUCUGGUUUUGUUCCGUGAUAUUUUCAUGUGGUCGUCUCGGAAGAGACACAUGCUGAGCCAGGAAGAUGGAAUACCGGCAGCUGUCUGUCCCCCGACGCUGGGCCUGGGGACAGCCCCUCCUGGGGCAGGACAGCCUCUCAGGAAGUCUGCACUGAAGGGGAAGGGCUGGGGCUCACAGGGGACCCACAGACACUCCUGCACCCCGCAUUCCAUGCUUGGAGCCAGGGGCCUCACACUCCUGCACCCCGUCCAGCUGUUGGGGACGACAUGGCUCGGAUCUUCAGUGUUGGAAAUUGAGACACAUGAACCCAGGGAGAUCUCGACAAACUCUUUAUUUCUGCAGGGUGGUGUGGGUGCUCAAAAAGCGCUCAAAGAAGAAAAGACCCCCCCGGAAGUAUCCCUAACGCAGAUGAUGUACCUGUCCCCUUCCCAUGGGUCAGGUCAGGGCACACAUUCCUCCCAGUUGGCUAAUUUGAAACAAAUGGUUAUUGGGAGAAGAGGGAAAGAGGAGGGGGUCACAGGAGGGCGUUUCAGCCCAAACUGGAGCAAAACAGAGUCACCAAGAUUUCCUUUGAUAGAAAAGACAUUACGUCACUUCUCACACAGCCAGGUCCUGCCCAGAGGCGGGCUGCUCCCCUUUGUCUGUCUGCCCAAGUUGGCUGACUUGUCUUCCCUCCUCAACCCCGAGGGAACCUGGCCCACCUUUCGUUCCACACCCAGUUUUUGCCUCUGCUCAGUCCUUACCUAGACUAGCCUGAGUCUGGAAACUUCUGGAAGCAUCCAGGUCUAGUCCCUCAGCGUCUUGCGAACACCAGCAAGAAGUUCUAAGUCUGAGCAGAAAAUCCUCCAGGAAACACAGCCCUCAGACACCCCCCAAAAAAGUCUGGCCAGCAAAAGACCCAGCCCCUCACCCCAUCUGAGGAUUAUCAGUCUUGUAACCUCUCGGUCGUGGGCCAGCAAGGACCCUGGACAGAGAGGGGUGAAGGUCAGGAUGAGAGGGGCACAGUGGCUCUUAUUGUGACCUCUUUUCUGUGUGACCUGGAGUAAACCAUUCAAGUUCUUGGCACCUCAGUUUCCCCAUCUGUCUUGCUGGAGGAUCGUAUUGAGAACAGAACAAGACUCCAGAUGGAAGUUCCCAGGUGGUGCCGCAGGUUAAGGAUCUCCGGUGUGGCCGCAGCUGUGGUGCAGGUGGCAAGUGCAGUGGCGAGGGUUCGAUUCCUGGUCCAGGAACUUCUACAUGUGGAGGGUGUAAAAAAAAAAAAAAAAAAAAAAAAAAAAAAA